rnacentral:rRNA from 1 species
AACGAACGCUGGCGGCAUGCCUAACACAUGCAAGUCGAACGAGACCUUCGGGUCUAGUGGCGCACGGGUGCGUAACGCGUGGGAACCUGCCCUUAGGUUCGGAAUAACUCCCCGAAAGGGGUGCUAAUACCGGAUAAUGUCUUCGGACCAAAGAUUUAUCGCCUUUGGGUGGGCCCGCGUUGGAUUAGCUAGUUGGUAGGGUAAAAGCCUACCAAGGCGACGAUCCAUAGCUGGUCUGAGAGGAUGAUCAGCCACACUGGGACUGGGACACGGCCCAGACUCCUACGGGAGGCAGCAGUGGGGAAUAUUGGACGAUGGGCGAAAGCCUGAGCCAGCAGUGCCGCGUGAGUGAUGAAGGCCUGAGGGUUGUAAAGCUCUUUUACCCGGGAUGAUAAGGACAGUACCGGGAGAAUAAACUCCGGCUAACUCCGU